CCUACGGGAGGCAGCAGUGAGGAAUAUUGGUCAAUGGACGCAAGUCUGAACCAGCCAUGCCGCGUGCAGGACGACGGCUCUAUGAGUUGUAAACUGCUUUUGUACGAGGGUAAACGCAGAUACGCGUAUCUGUCUGACAGUAUCGUAAGAAUAAGGAUCGGCUAACUCCGUGCCAGCAGCCGCGGUAAUACGGAGGAUUCAAGCGUUAUCCGGAUUUAUUGGGUUUAAAGGGUGCGUAGGCGGGCGGAUAAGUUAGAGGUGAAAUCCCGAGGCUCAACUUCGGAAUUGCCUCUGAUACUGUUCGGCGAGAGAGUAGUUGCGGUAGGCGGAAUGUAUGGUGUAGCGGUGAAAUGCUUAGAGAUCAUACAGAACACCGAUUGCGAAGGCAGCUUACCAAGCUACUUCUGACGUUGAGGCACGAAAGCGUGGGGAGCAAACAGGAUUAGAUACCCCAGUAGUC
rnacentral:rRNA from 1 species